rnacentral:rRNA from 1 species
GACAGAGGGUGCGAGCGUUGUUCGGAAUUACUGGGCGUAAAGAGCUCGUAGGCGGUUUGUCGCGUCUGCCGUGAAAAUCCGGGGCUCAACCCCGGACUUGCAGUGGGUACGGGCAGACUAGAGUGUGGUAGGGGAGACUGGAAUUCCUGGUGUAGCGGUGGAAUGCGCAGAUAUCAGGAGGAACACCGGUGGCGAAGGCAGGUCUCUGGGCCAUUACUGACACUGAGAAGCGAAAGCAUGGGGAGCGAACAGG